AUUUCUGCAGUUAAGUGUUGAUAGCUGAAAAAAGAUGACCAAAGCACAUGGAACAGAGAUAGUACAGCUACUGACAGCAUGGGGAAUACUUUCAGAAACAAAGUUGUCACAUCUGUUAAUAGCAGC